GAAUGCCAGUUUUACAUGAAGACCGGAGACUGCAAGUUUGGUGCUGUUUGUAGAUUCCAUCAUCCAAGGGAAAGGCUUAUUCCUCCUCCUGAUUGUCUGCUAAGUCCCAUUGGACUUCCUUUACGCCCUGGAGAACCACUGUGUAUUUUCUAUUCCAGAUAUGGGAUCUGCAAAUUUGGCCCAAGUUGCAAGUUUGAUCACCCAAUGACGGUUUUCACUUAUAGUAUUGCAGCAUCAUCAGCUACUGAUGCUCCUACAGUUCAGCGUUUAUUGGGUUCAUCAUCAGGAACCAGUGCACUGAACAUGACUUCAGAAGGGCUUGUUGAAGCAGUUUCAACAAAGCCCAGGCGACUGUCACUCUCAGAAACGAGAAAGAUGCCGUCUGGUGAUAAUAACAUUGACAGGGAGGGGUGAUAUUUAUCCACCAAUUACUAGCCAGCAUCAUCAUUUUCUAUCUUUUUGAGAAUCAAUAACAGUUGCCUGUAAAUUCUUUUCCAUCGGUGGAGAUGUACAGAAUCCAGUAAAAAUCUCAAUUUAUUCUUCUGAAAAUGCAUUUCAGUCGACAAAGUUGACAUAUCUGUACUUUCACUUUGGAGCAAUGUAUAAAUCUGCCGAUGUUGGCACAAAUUGGUGAAUCCAACUGUUAAUUAUUCAACAGCCAUCAGCCCCUAUAUUUCUCUUUGUGAAUUAAAUUAACCCCCUA
rnacentral:misc_RNA from 1 species